UGCUAGGGUUUUGUGCUUAAAACUUUUAAUUUUUAUAAAUUCCUUUUCAAUUCAGAAAAAUAAAGAAAAAUUUUCUCAAAGAAAAAAACACAAAAAUAGCAAAAAAUCCGUAAACCCUAAGCUUCAAGUUUAAAAAAUAGUGAAAAAUGGAAAAAACAAGGUAUAUAUAUAGUCCAAGAAUCGUGUAUGCAACCAGGUAUCGCAUACGCGAUACCAGUCCUGAUGGAAGGCAUCAC
rnacentral:lncRNA from 1 species